rnacentral:lncRNA from 1 species
AUGACCAUGCAUCUGGUGCCUCAGAAGAGGUCCCUGGAGCACAGCCCUGCCCAGCAGGGGAAAUUCCUGUGCUCACACACAUCUCUGCAGGACGUGCUGCUACAUACAAGGUGCCACCCCUGGUUUUCACAAUGCCUCCAGCAGUUUUUAGAUCAAACAUGCUCUGCACAGACAUGCAGUGGGAUGAGGGGUAGGGCUCCCAUCACUGUCACAUCACAAACACAAGCUCACAGAACGCCACAAACACAACUGGCUCAGCCCAAGCACCCUCUGCUCCAGCUGCUCCUCUCCCAUCCUCAACACCUGCACUCCUGUCUGCAACACUCUGAUGAAGCUUCUUGCCAGCCCACAAGCUCUAAAGGAUGCUCUGAUGAAGAAUGUAGAUAUUCUAUCAUCACUCCCAGUUUGUGCUGGUAUCCUACAAACCCACAAAAAAAGCCUUUUGCUUCAGCACAUGGCAACACAUUUGUUGCCUCAUCCUGCUCUUGGAGUUAAUGAGGAUUACAGCCUGUUUCCACAAGUAAGGAGCCUUCAUCUUUCAGCUGGGAAACUUAGAUACACAGAUAUAUGUUCUGUCCAUGUAUGACAUGUAUAUUGAUAUCUGUAACUAUUGCACCACUUUCACCUCCAGGGAACGCAGAAAAUAUUAAUGCUUUUAUAAUGUAUUGCUGGAUUGCAAUGUAUCAUCUUAUAAAGGAUGUUGUUAUGAUUAUCAUACUAGUAAAUUAUAGACAAGAGACUGUGGGGCAUAUAAAAAUCAUAGUCAAGCUCUUAAGGGCAAGCUCUUGUUUCAUACCACAACACAGAUCCAAAAUAACACAUGGACCCCUGCAAACACAGGCAGGAAAAGAGCAAAACCCUUUUGAUUGGCACAGGGAUCAGCUGCUGCUCAAGGAACUCCCUGCUCAUGCUGGUCACUUCCUCUGCCAUGCUCCCUGUGAUUUUCACAAGGAGAAGUAAAAGAGAAUCAUGCAAGCUCGGACACUGCCUAGAAAAUAAAUCUUUGAAUUCACCUGGCA